UCAGAUAUGGUGUUGUGGUGACAUGGCCUCCUCAAAUAUGGGACUGAUUUAGACAACUAUUGGGGGCAGUCCGGGGUUCAAUUCCCUGUGUCUGAA